UUAUAUGGAGAGUUUGAUCCUGGCUCAGGACGAACGCUGGCGGCGUGCCUAAUACAUGCAAGUCGAGCGGACGGAUGGGAGCUUGCUUCCAGACCGUCAGCGGCGGACGGGUGAGUAACACGUGGGCAACCUGCCUGUAAGACUGGGAUAACUCCGGGAAACCGGGGCUAAUACCGGAUAACUCUUUCCCUCACAUGAGGGAAAGCUGAAAGAUGGCAUCUCGCUAUCACUUACAGAUGGGCCCGCGGCGCAUUAGCUAGUUGGU
rnacentral:rRNA from 1 species